UACAUAGGGGGCAAGCGUUAUCCGGAAUUAUUGGGCGUAAAGAGUGCGUAGGCGGUUGAUUAAGUCUGGUGUAAAAUCCCACAGCUUAACUGUGGAGGGUCAUUGGAAACUGGUCGACUAGAGUACGGUAGAGGUAAGCGGAAUUCCAAGUGGAGCGGUAAAAUGCGUAGAUAUUUGGAGGAACACCGGUGGCGAAGGCGACUUACUGGGCCGGAACUGACGCUGAUGCAAGAAAGCGUGGGGAGCAAACAGGAUUAGAUACCCUGGUAGUCCCUGAGCGGG
rnacentral:rRNA from 1 species